rnacentral:rRNA from 1 species
AGUGAACGCUGGCGGUAGGCCUAACACAUGCAAGUCGAACGGCAGCACAGUAAGAGCUUGCUCUUACGGGUGGCGAGUGGCGGACGGGUGAGGAAUACAUCGGAACCUACUUUUUCGUGGGGGAUAACGUAGGGAAACUUACGCUACUACCGCAUACGACCUACGGGUGAAAGCAGGGGUUCUUCGGACCUUGCGCGAUUGAAUGAGCUGAUUUCGGAUUAGCUAGUUGGCGGGGUAAAGACCCACCAAGGCGACGAUCCGUAGCUGGUCUGAGAGGAUGAUCAGCCACAGUGGGACUGAGACGCGGUCCAGACCCCUACGGGAGGCAGCAGUGGGCAAGUUUGGACAAUGGGCGCAAGCCGGAUCCAGCCAGACCGCGUGGGUGAAGAAGGCCUUCGGGUUGUAGAGCGCUUGUGUUGGGAAGGAAAAGCAGCAGGUUAAUACACCGCUGUUCUGACGGUACCCAACGAAGAAGCACCGGCUAACUUCGUG